CGCUAAGACUGUCCCUUAGGUCCCCCUCUACCCUAUGUAUGCGAAUGAUUUUCCAACUCCAAAGGAAAAUGUGGAAAAACUAUGUAAAUGUAAGAUUUUCCAAUUUUUUUUAUCUUCAUUUCGCUAUUUUGAAUCACCCUCAAAAAUGUGCAACCUAAAAAUACAUCUAAUAUGUUGCAUUUUUAAUGCUCUUUCACAUGGUACCAUGAUUUCCCGGAAAAUCGCAUGGGAAAAUGGUGAAAAAUCAAUAAUUCUUCAAAAAAAAAAUAAUCGAAUUAUUUUGGGAGAAGAAACCUGUCAAAUGUUUUUUCAUCAUUAACAUUUAAAACGUUUGACGAAGUUUGUUUACAAUAUUUUGUUGAGUUUUGUUUACAAUUUCUUUUUUUUGAUAAAUCCGGCGCCGGAGUACCCAAUGGUGAAGUCCGGGGUGCCCCAAAGUGGUGCCCCAUAGUGGUGACCAGGUGCUCCAUAAGUUUCAAGAAGUGUGAAAAUGUAAAAUAGAUAAAAUGGCAUAAGAAGAAUCUGAGGACACAGUCAUCCAUCACCUGACCACAAACUCUUUUAAGGCAUUAGCGGAGUCUUCCGGCAGAUUUUCAAUCUUCGAACUGAAGUGACUUCCCAUGAUCUCUACAGAGAAAGACUCAUCGCUCAUUCACAGAGCUUCUACUUCCGGUGCCCCAUCAGGUGACUUCCAGUGAAAUCCCCAAAUAAAGGUUCAUCGCUCUCCUGAAGAAAGGAAGUGGUUUUUGUGCGUGCUGCGUGCCCCCGUCAGAAGUAUUCUAGUAGGCACUGCUUUUGGCGAGGACCAAGACGGGUAAUUGUUGAGUCUCCAGGCACAUUUUUACAUUCCACAACACGGGGAAAGAGCCACAAGGUCAAGGUCACAGAAAAAGUGUGGAUUCAAUUGUUUUCCGCUGAUAGUAGCCGUACAGUGUUGCUAGAAAACCAGGAUUGAGAAUAAAGUCAAUGUUAUGUGCGACAUUAUUUUUAUUUUCAUUACAUUUUGUAACAAAAAAAUUAUGUUA